rnacentral:rRNA from 1 species
CCUACGGGAGGCAGCAGUGGGGAAUAUUGGACAAUGGGCGCAAGCCUGAUCCAGCCAUGCCGCGUGAGUGAUGAAGGCCUUAGGGUUGUAAAGCUCUUUUGUCCGGGACGCGGUACCGGAAGAAUAAGCCCCGGCUAACUUCGUGCCAGCAGCCGCGGUAAUACGAAGGGGGCUAGCGUUGCUCGGAAUCACUGGGCGUAAAGGGCGCGUAGGCGGUCUUUUAAGUCGGGGGUGAAAGCCUGUGGCUCAACCACAGAAUUGCCUUCGAUACUGGGAGACUUGAGUUUGGUAGAGGUUGGUGGAACUGCGAGUGUAGAGGUGAAAUUCGUAGAUAUUCGCAAGAACACCGGUGGCGAAGGCGGCCAACUGGACAAACUGACGCUGAGGCGCGAAAGCGUGGGGAGCAAACAGGAUUAGAUACCCUUGUAGUC